UGGGGAAUAUUGGACAAUGGGCGCAAGCCUGAUCCAGCCAUGCCGCGUGAGUGAUGAAGGCCUUAGGGUUGUAAAGCUCUUUCGCCGACGAAGAUAAUGACGGUAGUCGGAGAAGAAGCCCCGGCUAACUUCGUGCCAGCAGCCGCGGUAAUACGAAGGGGGCUAGCGUUGUUCGGAAUCACUGGGCGUAAAGCGCACGUAGGCGGAUUGUUAAAGUCAGGGGUGAAAAGCCUGGAGCUCAACUCCAGAACUGCCCUUGAUACUGGCAAAUCUCGAGUCCGGAAGAGGUAAGUGGAACUGCGAGUGUAGAGGUGAAAAUUCGUAGAUAUUCGCAAGAAACACCAGUGGCGAAGGCGGCUUACUGGUCCGGUACUGACGCUGAGGUGCGAAAAGCGUGGGGAGCAAAACAGGAUUAGAUACCCUGGUAGUCCACGCCGUAAAACGAUGGAGGCUAGCCGUUGGCGAGCAUGCUCGUCAGUGGCGCAGCUAACGCAUUAAGCCUCCCGCCUGGGGAGUACGGUCGCAAGAUUAAAAACUUAAAAUGAAUUGACGGGGGU
rnacentral:rRNA from 1 species